ACCUACGGCCAUACCACCCUGAACGCGCCCGAUCUCGUCUGAUCUCGGAAGCUAAGCAGGGUCGGGCCUGGUUAGUACUUGGAUGGGAUUCCCCCUGGGAAUACCGGGUGCUGUAGGCU
rfam:Mus musculus chromosome 8, GRC primary reference assembly.